GAUUAUAACAAUAAUUAAUUUGAAUGAAAUUUAUAUUUAUUUAGAAUGAAAAACCAAUCAAAUCUAAUACUAUUUUUUGAAUCAAUAGCAUAAGUAUUUGAAAAAAAGGAAAUUACAUUCAGAUCUAUGACUGAUUCUAUCAGUACGGAAAACAUUAAAACGAGUCAGUCUUGAAGAAACCGCUGAGUUGAAAAGUUGUCACACAAAUUAUUUCCAAUCUAUUUGAAAAUGAAAAAAAACUAAAAAAAUGUUAGAGUGAAUAAGUAAACUUAUAAAGUGGCAAAAAUCAUCAAGUGAUCGACAAAGAAAUUUGAUAAAGUGUUGGAAAUCGUUAGAUUGGGUAAGUAAAAAAAUGUUUGCCAGAAAAGUAUUAAUCAUAUUCGGUAAAUUAAAUUAAAUUUAUUUCUUCUUUUAAGCUAAAAUGGAAUGUCAAACUUUUUAUUAUUUUAUUUAAAUUUAAAAUUCGUCGUAAGAAUUUUUUAUUAUUUAAUACUUUACUAACGAUUUGUAAUUUUCAAUAUUUUUCAAGUUCAAUCGAUCAUCCUGAUUGCAAGUCAUUGUUGAUUGGAAACGUCCGUGAGCAGAAGCUGGAAAAUUAUCACCAUAUCUGUUUUAUCGAACUACUUUUCUUCAAAAAUUCCAUCUAGGAGAGACCUAAAUAGUAUCAAGGACAAUCAUUGUCUUUUCCAUGGAAUUGGAAAAGUGAUUCGCAGAUAGCAGCAGAACUCAGAGCAAACAGUAAAGGCCGUAAAUCUGCAAAACACAACUUAGAAAAGUGAGCGCUGUAAUAAAAGUAGACGAGGAGCACUACCACUGAUCAAAUUUCAUUAUGUUAUCGUUUAUCUUUACGGGGCAAAAGACAAUCAGUCUUUUGAAGUAUCUUAUUUCUUCUGAAACUGGUAAACACAAUUGGGAGAAAGCAGAGGAGCAUACAUCCAAAAGCUGAGAAGAAGACUUCACGAAACUACUAGAAAGUCGUGCAACACCCCAUAGAAAUUAAUGUAAUACAAUUUUAUUG